AGCCUGAUCCAGCCAUGCCGCGUGUGUGAAGAAGGCCUUUUGGUUGUAAAGCACUUUAAGCGAGGAGGAGGCUACUUGGAUUAAUACUCUAGGAUAGUGGACGUUACUCGCAGAAUAAGCACCGGCUAACUCUGUGCCAGCAGCCGCGGUAAUACAGAGGGUGCGAGCGUUAAUCGGAUUUACUGGGCGUAAAGCGUGCGUAGGCGGCUUUUUAAGUCGGAUGUGAAAUCCCUGAGCUUAACUUAGGAAUUGCAUUCGAUACUGGGAAGCUAGAGUAUGGGAGAGGAUGGUAGAAUUCCAGGUGUAGCGGUGAAAUGCGUAGAGAUCUGGAGGAAUACCGAUGGCGAAGGCAGCCAUCUGGCCUAAUACUGACGCUGAGGUACGAAAGCAUGGGGAGCAAACAGGAUUAGAUACCCUGGUAGUCCAUGCCGUAAACGAUGUCUACUAGCCGUUGGGGCCUUUGAGGCUUUAGUGGCGCAGCUAACGCGAUAAGUAGACCGCCUGGGGAGUACGGUCGCAAGACUAAAACUCAAAUG
rnacentral:rRNA from 1 species